GUAAGGACGCGUAGGCGGGAUGUCAAGUCUGAUGUGAAAUCUAGGUCGCGUGAACUGCAUUGGAAACUGGUAACCUAGAGAAGGGAGGGGGAGAUGGAAUUAGUGGUGUAGGGGUAAAAUCCGUAGAUAUCACUAGGAAUACCGAAAGCGAAGGCGAUCUCCCGGAACAAUACUGACGCUAAGGCGUGAAAGCGUGGGGAGCAAACGGGAUUAGAUACCCCGGUAGUCCAUGCCCUAAACGAUGAACACUAGUCGUCGGAAUGCUAGUCAUUUCGGUGACGCACUUAACAGAUUAAGUGUUCCGCCUGGGGAGUACGGUCGCAAGAUUAAAACUCAAAGGAAUAGACGGGGACCCGCACAAGUGGUGGAGCAUGUGGUUUAAUUCGAAGAUACGCGAAGAACCUUACCUAGCCUUGACAUUGAUUGAACACUUUAGAGAUAGAGUGGUGCCCUUCGGGGAGCAUGAAAACAGGUGCUGCACGGCUGUCGUCAGCUCGUGUCGUGAGAUGUUGGGUUAAGUCCCGCAACGAGCGCAACCCUCGUCCUUAGUUGCCAGCAGGUUAAGCUGGGCACUCUAAGGAGACUGCCUUCGCAAGGAGGAGGGAGGUGAGGACGACGUCAAGUCAUCAUGGCCCUUAUGGCUAGGGCUACACACGUGCUACAAUGGGGCGUACAGAGUGUUGCGAUACCGCGAGGUGGAGCUAAUCACUUAAAGCGUCUCUCAGUUCGGAUUGGAGUCUGCAACUCGACUCCAUGAAGCUGGAAUCACUAGUAAUCGUAGAUCAGCAAUGCUACGGUGAAUACGUU
rnacentral:rRNA from 1 species